AGACGCAGAGAACUGAAACAUCUUAGUACCUGCAGGAAGAGAAAGAAAAUUCGAUUCCCUGAGUAGCGGCGAGCGAAACGGGAAGAGCCCAAACCAACAAGCUUGCUUGUUGGGGUUGUAGGACUCCGAUAUGGUAGUCUGUUAGUAUAGUUGAAGGAUUUGGAAAAUUCCGCUAAAGAGGGUGAAAGCCCCGUAGACGAAAUGCUGACAACACCUAGGAGGAUCCUGAGUACGGCGGAACACGAGAAAUUCCGU
rnacentral:rRNA from 1 species